rnacentral:rRNA from 1 species
UACGUAGGGGGCUAGCGUUGUCCGGAAUUAUUGGGCGUAAAGGGCUCGUAGGCGGUUUGUCGCGUCGGGAGUGAAAACACCGGGCUUAACUCGGUGCUUGCUUUCGAUACGGGCAGACUAGAGGUAUGCAGGGGAGAACGGAAUUCCUGGUGUAGCGGUGAAAUGCGCAGAUAUCAGGAGGAACACCGGUGGCGAAGGCGGUUGGCUGGGCCACAACUGACACUGAUGCGCGACAGCGUGGGGAGCAAACAGG